rnacentral:rRNA from 1 species
UACGAAGGGGGCUAGCGUUGCUCGGAAUUACUGGGCGUAAAGCGCACGUAGGCGGGUCGCUAAGUCGGGGGUGAAAUCCUGGAGCUCAACUCCAGAACUGCCUUCGAAACUGACGAUCUUGAGUUCGGGAGAGGUGAGUGGAACUGCGAGUGUAGAGGUGAAAUUCGUAGAUAUUCGCAAGAACACCAGUGGCGAAGGCGGCUCACUGGCCCGAUACUGACGCUGAGGCACGAAAGCGUGGGGAGCAAACAGGG